GCGGAUGUGGCGGAACUGGCAGACGCACUAGACUUAGGAUCUAGCGCCAUCGGCGUGCAGGUUCGAUUCCUGUCAUCCGCACCA
rnacentral:tRNA from 2 species